rnacentral:rRNA from 1 species
AGCCGCGGUAAUACGGAGGGUGCGAGCGUUAAUCGGAAUUACUGGGCGUAAAAGCGCAUGCAGGUGGUUUGUUAAGUCAGAUGUGAAAGCCCGGGGCUCAACCUCGGAAUUGCAUUUGAAAACUGGCAAACUAGAGUACUGUAGAGGGGGUAGAAUUUCAGGUGUAGCGGUGAAAUGCGUAGAGAUCUGAAGGAAUACCGGUGGCGAAGGCGGCCCCCUGGACAGAUACUGACACUCAGAUGCGAAAGCGUGGGGAGCAAACAGGAUUAGAUACCCUGGUAG